UGUCAGGUAGCACAAUGGUAGUGCAUUCGACUGUUAAUCGAAGGGUUGUAGGUUCGAGUCCUAUCCUGACAGCCA
rnacentral:tRNA from 1 species